UUUAAAAGACUUCAUGAAUUUUUAAAAAUAUUUUACCUUAAAAUUUGUUGAAUAUUAAAGAUGGCCUUAUUUAUUUAUAUCAUACUACUUAACACUAUUAAUCUCUUUUCCUGAAACCUUUCCAAUCUUUCCAAUCCCUUCGUUGGUCUACCCUUUUCCCUCCCAUUAACCUCAUCAUUAAUGUUAUUCAUACCAUUUCCUUAAAUCACUCUUUUCCUUCUUCGUUUUUUUUAUAUGUACUUUCUUUUACGUAUUGCAUCCAGUCCAGGCAAGUAACAAGCCUUGCAUUUUCUCUUCUUUUUUUUUUAAAUUAUUUUAUCUUACAAGUUCAGAGCGUAAAUCAAGCACCAUCACCUUGAAGAAACGUUUGUUAAUUGGAAGUUCCUCUUCCGUUGUAGAAGGAGAAGAAGAUAGCAUUGUUAAGAUUUUGCAAAGGGUCGGUUCCAUCAGACUUGUCCAAAUAAGUAAUUUUGACCACUCUGAUUUAUUGGUUUCAAUUUAUUUUUUUUAAAUAUAUGUGGUUUAAAUUUCCAAAUUUGAGUUAGAGGUUCUCGAUUCAUAACUUUCUUUUUAUUUUUUUGCAGGACAAAAUUAUCAUAAAGCAUAGAAUAGAUCCUAAAAGAAAAUUAAAUCCUUGAAGAGGUACCUUUUUAUUGAUUUCUUCAGAAAACUUCCUCAACAUAUUCUACAUAGAUAUGUAAUUAAAUAAAAAAUCUUCUUUAAUAAAGACAAUCAAGAAUCUAUUAUCUCUCAUAGAUUUACUGUAAAUUUCAUUACCAAUGGCUUAUUAAGUGCAAAAAUUAUGUUCUAAGACUAAAGAGGUCGGUCAAGGAGAUUGACUGAUCAAUGGAUUAUGAGGAACGAUCUCAGGUGGCUUUUGUUAGAUUCAUUUAAGUUGAUGUAAUGUUUGUAAUUCUUUUAAUUUACUUUCAUUGUUGUUCUUAAAUCUUAUCAUGUGUUGUGGCAUGUAUCAUGCAGUUAUAUAUAUGUAGAUCGUUUUUUUUUUUUUU